GGAUACUUAGCUUAGUUGGUGAGAGCAUGGUACUGAUAAUGCCAAAGUUGUGGGUUUGAUUCCCGUGCAGGCCA
rnacentral:tRNA from 1 species